rnacentral:rRNA from 1 species
UGCAGUAGAACGCUGAAGAGAGGAGCUUGCUCUUCUUGGAUGAGUUGCGAACGGGUGAGUAACGCGUAGGUAACCUGCCUUGUAGCGGGGGAUAACUAUUGGAAACGAUAGCUAAUACCGCAUAACAAUGGAUGACCCAUGUCAUUUAUUUGAAAGGGGCAAAUGCUCCACUACAAGAUGGACCUGCGUUGUAUUAGCUAGUAGGUGAGGUAACGGCUCACCUAGGCGACGAUACAUAGCCGACCUGAGAGGGUGAUCGGCCACACUGGGACUGAGACACGGCCCAGACUCCUACGGGAGGCAGCAGUAGGGAAUCUUCGGCAAUGGGGGCAACCCUGACCGAGCAACGCCGCGUGAGUGAAGAAGGUUUUCGGAUCGUAAAGCUCUGUUGUAAGUCAAGAACGAGUGUGAGAGUGGAAAGUUCACACUGUGACGGUAGCUUACCAGAAAGGGACGGCUAACUACGUGCCAGCAGCCGCGGUAAUACGUAGGUCCCGAGCGUUGUCCGGAUUUAUUGGGCGUAAAGCGAGCGCAGGCGGUUUGAUAAGUCUGAAGUUAAAGGCUGUGGCUCAACCAUAGUUCGCUUUGGAAACUGUCAAACUUGAGUGCAGAAGGGGAGAGUGGAAUUCCAUGUGUAGCGGUGAAAUGCGUAGAUAUAUGGAGGAACACCGGUGGCGAAAGCGGCUCUCUGGUCUGUAACUGACGCUGAGGCUCGAAAGCGUGGGGAGCGAACAGGAUUAGAUACCCUGGUAGUCCACGCCGUAAACGAUGAGUGCUAGGUGUUGGAUCCUUUCCGGGAUUCAGUGCCGCAGCUAACGCAUUAAGCACUCCGCCUGGGGAGUACGACCGCAAGGUUGAAACUCAAAGGAAUUGACGGGGGCCCGCACAAGCGGUGGAGCAUGUGGUUUAAUUCGAAGCAACGCGAAGAACCUUACCAGGUCUUGACAUCCCGAUGCUAUUUCUAGAGAUAGAAAGUUACUUCGGUACAUCGGUGACAGGUGGUGCAUGGUUGUCGUCAGCUCGUGUCGUGAGAUGUUGGGUUAAGUCCCGCAACGAGCGCAACCCCUAUUGUUAGUUGCCAUCAUUCAGUUGGGCACUCUAGCGAGACUGCCGGUAAUAAACCGGAGGAAGGUGGGGAUGACGUCAAAUCAUCAUGCCCCUUAUGACCUGGGCUACACACGUGCUACAAUGGUUGGUACAACGAGUUGCGAGUCGGUGACGGCAAGCUAAUCUCUUAAAGCCAAUCUCAGUUCGGAUUGUAGGCUGCAACUCGCCUACAUGAAGUCGGAAUCGCUAGUAAUCGCGGAUCAGCACGCCGCGGUGAAUACGUUCCCGGGCCUUGUACACACCGCCCGUCACACCACGAGAGUUUGUAACACCCGAAGUCGGUGAGGUAACCUUUUGGAGCCAGCCGC